UACGGCGGCCACAGCGACAGGGAAACGCCCGGUCCCAUUCCGAACCCGGAAGCUAAGCCUGUCAGCGCCGAUGAUACUGCGCUUAUCGCGUGGAAAAGUAGGACACCGCCGAAC
rfam:Mycobacterium intermedium strain HMC2_M5 PROKKA_contig000011, whole genome shotgun sequence.